rnacentral:lncRNA from 1 species
CUACUAGACUCAUCAGUGAUGAAGCUUCUGGGAUUUAGGUCUACAUGAAUCCCCACCAAGAAAAAUGCCAGUCGACUGAAUGAGCACGAUGGCAGCUCUCUGGCCAAGUGUAUGCAGAAGGGAGUGGUUCACUCUAAAGAACUCAGAUUGGGGGAGAAAGUCUUGGACCAUGUACUUUGCAUCAUUUUUAAAUCACCUGACUUACAGGAAGACAAAGGUGUAGUAGUAGUAGUCUUGAAUUCCUGACUAUUCUGUGCUUCCAGCUCAGUUGGGAACUUCCUACAAUUGGCUGAUCUUGCUGCUGCCCCCCCUGUCAUCCGUAAAACCAUGGAGAGGCAUUUUCUUUUCUGCUGGAAUUGGGUCCAAAUUUUGACUCCUAGUGCUUCUUAUUCUCCAUCUGAUUGUGAGGACUUUGCUGGAGUUCUUCCAUUUUCACAUAGUAGCCGUUCCUUGUCUCAUGACUCUCUGGAGGUAUCCCUUGUGCUUUCUUUCCUGCGGUAG